CCCGCCCCGUCCGCGCAGCUCGUCCGGCCCGCCCGCAGGCCAGCUUCUCUCGGGAGCCUCCACCCAGGCGCAUGGCUCCAUGAAGCAAGAGGAGGAGGCAGAGCGCGAGAGAUCCCGUCCGCCCCAGCCGCGUCUGGGCCAGGAGAAAAGCAAAACCAUAUUCCUGCUGCUGUCAGUUUUGAUGCACUGAGAAAACUUCAGAGACCUAAGCUUUUUCCAGAGAAGAGAAGCUUUACUGGUGUUCCAGCCCUAAGAAACUUAAAUCCUCAGUGUGACACAACUCAGUCCUUCUACUGCAGCAGCUCUUUUAUAAAAGCCUCCCAAAGCUCCAAGAAGGAACAAAGAAUGUGACCCAGUAAGCUCACACCAUAAGUCUAUAUUGCAGAAACCUUUGUUCAACAAAACUGCAGAUGCUCUGUUGAAUCCACUGGAGAUUGUCCUGAUACUAAGGACAAGUAUGCUCAUAUGACAUUAACAGACAAGACACUUUUCAGAAAGACAGGUAAGUCAUUUGUUAAAAUCUCACUACUGUUGUUUAACAGAAACAUAUAUAUGCAUGUAUAUGUGUGUACUGUAUGGAAAAAGUGGAAUUAGAGUUUAUCUAGAAAAGAAAAAAUUACCUCAUCUAAGUGCAGAAAUGAAUAAUACUUAAACCAUACCAUACAAUUCUCUAUCAUAUUUCCACAGAUAAGUCAAAAAUUUAAAAAAUCUUAUUGUUCAUGCAUAAAUGCAGAAAACAAUAUCUCUAGUAUAUGUUUGUGUUCUAUUGUACUUUCACAGAAGGUGUUUGAUACUUAAUACUGUGUUUAUUAAGAAAAAUCUUUGCAAUGGUUAUGGAAUUAAAAUUUCAUGUAAAAAUGAUUAUGUAGAUCAAGAAAAGUUGCAAUUUUCUGGAUUCCUGAUAUUUUAAAUAAAAGUAGUUUCCAAAGGCGA
rnacentral:lncRNA from 1 species